ACUGUUAUAUCACUUGCAAUACAUUCAAACAGGCAGCUCCUCCUCUCCCAUCCAGAAAAUGUCACAUUAUCUAUGUCUAUAAUGUCACUAUACAACGUGUGUCCGUUUCAGUG